rnacentral:rRNA from 1 species
AGCGUAGGCGGACAGUUUAGUCAGAGGUGAAAGCCCAGGGCUCAACCCUGGAAUUGCCUUUGAUACUGGCUGUCUUGAGUAUGGGAGAGGUAAGCGGAACUCCGAGUGUAGAGGUGAAAUUCGUAGAUAUUCGGAAGAACACCAGUGGCGAAGGCGGCUUACUGGCCCAUUACUGACGCUGAGGCUCGAAAGCGUGGGGAGCAAACA